rnacentral:tRNA from 1 species
UGCCUCGUAGCUCAGCUGGUAGAGCCCUCGCGGUACGAACGCGAGGGUGGUGACCUUGCGUUGGUUCGAAUCCUGCCGGGGCCA